rnacentral:rRNA from 1 species
UUUUACAAUGUAGAGUUUGAUCCUGGCUCAGGAUGAACGCUAGCUACAGGCUUAACACAUGCAAGUCGAGGGGCAGCAUGUCGGUUGCUUGCAACCGAUGAUGGCGACCGGCGCACGGGUGAGUAACGCGUAUCCAACCUACCCUUGUCCAUCGGAUAACCCGUCGAAAGGCGGCCUAACACGAUAUGCGG